GGGGGUAUAGCUCAGUGGUAGAGCACAUGAUUAGCAUGCAUGAGGUCCCAGUUUCAAUCCCCAGUACCUCUC
rnacentral:tRNA from 1 species